CAGCGUUCUCAGGGCGGGGCGGAACUCCCCACCGGCGGUGACAGGGCGAAAGCCCUGAAGCCCGCGAGCGCCCGGGGGUCCGACAGGGCUUCCGGGGUCAGCAGAUCCGGUGCGAUUCCGGGGCCGACGGUCACAGUCCGGAUGGAAGAGAGCGCGG
rnacentral:ncRNA from 2 species